CUAAAAUAUUAAAUGAAAAUUUAGUAAUGUUUUUAAGAAGAGAGGCUUCAAACAACUUCAGUUGCUGGGGAAGAAUCUGUAAAAAUUAAGCAUGACUUCUUUUAACAUUCUGUUAAAAUCAUGUUUAAUAUUUCAUUAAGUUGAAGCCAGUUUCUCCUUUGGUACUUACUAAAACACACUCCCCAUAGGUAAGCGAGCUUCGACUCCCUUGACAGUAUUUGUUUACUGUGCAGUGGCAUGCCACGCUUUAAUCAUUGUCCUGCAUCUUCCCCUGAAAAACAAUGUACCAAAAUAUUCUUACUAAAUCAUAAAAUGAACACUUAAUCAGAGAUAUCUUAUGAUGUCUUUCCUGGUAUUUAAGUCUUUAUUUUUUAAAGCCUGUGCAAGUGGAGUCUUUUGCAGGUAGAGAGAGGGUGGUGCAUGGAAAAAGAUCUGAGCCUUUGGAGUAAAGGUUAGUUGGGGACAAAAGCAGCAAGAGAGCCGGAGGUAUUUUCAAAGACCUGAAAUGAAAGAGAACGUUGCUGCUACUUCUGCACAAAUGAAGGGCCCAGACCUCUGUACGGGGCAACACACAGAGAAUAUUUCCAGUCACAGUACUUUGGCUACAGGAUGCACUUAGAAGGUAGGGACCGAAGCUCUCUGUCUGGACAGCAAGUUUCUCACCUAUUUCAUCUUAGAAGCUGGCUUUCGAUGACCUAUGCAAGACUGAACUACGAGCAUGUUUGCAGUUACUAAGACGAAUGGAAAUCCACAGUCCACAAGCACAGCAAGCAGCUCAAAGCAACACACGGACUAUCCUGUGAUCGUCACUGGCAGAAGACUAGGCACAAAUGAGGCUGCUCACCUUGCCAGGAUCAAGCUUGACUGCAGGAAAAGUGAAAGCCAGGCUCAUUCUCGUCAGAAGUUCAGCUGGGGAAGAAAUACCUCUCAGCACAUUUGGGACAUUGGUAUAUUACAGCUCCCAUCUUUGCUGGUGGCAACCAGGGAGACAUGGUCUAGUCCUAGGGGUACUCAUGGUUCCUAGAUACCAUUAACAUUACUCAUCACGUGGCUUCAACACAGUUGUGCUUUUAUUAAGCCCACAGGGAAGAAAAGUUUUGGUCCGCUGGGACAGCAUAUCGUAUAACACAAUCACAAGAGUGGCACACCAUCACUUUUCAAAAGCUCUACUAGUUAGAAUCACAGCAAGGGUCCUGUCACUUUUAAGGUGAGUUCAUCACCCCGGAUUUUCUUGAGAAACAAAACCGAUACAUGAUUUCUUUUAAAAGAUUAGCUCACAUAAUUGAAGGUGCUGACAAAUUGGAAACACACAAUGCAGGUUAGAUAGCUGAGGAAUCAAUCAGGAGGUGAAGUUUUACUCUUAAGGUAGACCUUCCUUUGGUCUUUUAAAAAAAUCUCAGGCAUUUUGUUGCUGUUUUUCUCAAUACCUUCAACUGAUUAUUUUAGGCUCGCUUACAUUGGCCAGGACAAUCUCUUUUAUUCAAAAUCAGUUGAUCAUAGACAUUAACCACAGGUACACAAUAAAUACCUUUACAGCAAUAUCUAGAUUUAUGCUUGAUUAAAUUUUAAGGUACUGUAUUGCACCCAAGUUUACAUAUAAAACCAGACAUCAUAGGGAAGGAAUUGCACUAAAGGAGUGAACAAAGCACAGGAAAUUAGCAAGAUCUUGGAGUCUGCUCCCCAUAGAAGUUUUUAAAAUUUUUAGCUCAUUUUUCACCAGUAAAAAAGUGUGUGGAAACUAUUGAUGGCCAACAUUUAGGAUGCAGUACUUCUAGAUAAUAAACUAGUCAUUCUAUGGCCCAAACUUCAAAUCCACAAAUAAGCUCUUCCUUUCAACUAUCACAUUGUGAACCAGAAUGGCAGUAGUCUAGAUCUAAAUUUGUCCCAACAUUUCUUACACCAAAGAUGAAAAGCAAAAAAGUUAUCAAAGCAGCUGUUUCCCAAGAAUUUUGUUAAUUCUUUGCUAAGAAUGACCUAGGUAUGGUUCCAUCUGUGUGUGUGUGUGUGUGUGUGUGUGUGUGUGUGUGUGUGUGUUUAUUAAAGAAAAGGAACUUGUAACACAGCAGAAGAUAAAAGGAUUCACAUCACUUGUGGCAGCCUGAAGUCAGAGUUAGUGAGGGAAUUUUAAAAUCUCUGGACUUAGUUCAAUGUCAGAGCUUGUAGCCCAAGGUCACAGCACACCGGUAGGGUUGCAAGACUUUCCUGAGAUUAAUGGCAGCACUGAGCUAAAGAUGACGGAAAGGGCAGCCUCUGGCAUGC
ensembl:lincRNA